UCCUGGUUAACCCAGGCAGUCUCAUUAGAGUUCCCACCAUUACGUGUUGGCAACUAAUGAUAAGGGUUGCGCUCGUUGCUGGACUUAACCAAACACCUCACGGCACGAGCUGACGACAGCCAUGCAGCACCUGUGCAGCGGCCCUUGCGGGAAGCACCAUUUCUGAUGCGGUCCACUGCAUGUCAAGACUGGGUAAGGUUCUUCGCGUUGCAUCGAAUUAAACCACAUGCUCCACUGCUUGUGCGGGUCCCCGUCAAUUCUUUUGGGUUUCACCCUUGCGAGUGUACUCCCCAGGCGGUAUACUUAACGCGUUUGCUACGGCACAGUCAGGGUUGAGUCCGACUACGCCUAGUAUACAUAGUUUACGGCAAGGACUAC
rnacentral:misc_RNA from 1 species